UGGCGAACGGGUGAGUAACACGUGGGUAAUCUGCCCUGCACUCUGGGAUAAGCCUGGGAAACUGGGUCUAAUACUGGAUAUGACCUCUCUCCUUAUGGGGUUUGGUGGAAAGUUUUUCGGUGUAGGAUGAGCCCGCGGCCUAUCAGCUUGUUGGUGGGGUGAUGGCCUACCAAGGCGACGACGGGUAGCCGGCCUGAGAGGGUGAUCGGCCACAUUGGGACUGAGAUACGGCCCAG
rnacentral:rRNA from 1 species